rnacentral:rRNA from 1 species
UACGAAGGGGGCUAGCGUUGCUCGGAAUCACUGGGCGUAAAGCGCACGUAGGCGGAUCUUUAAGUCAGGGGUGAAAUCCCGGAGCUCAACUCCGGAACUGCCUUUGAUACUGGAGAGCUUGAGUCCGGAAGAGGUGAGUGGAACUCCGAGUGUAGAGGUGAAAUUCGUAGAUAUUCGGAAGAACACCAGUGGCGAAGGCGGCUCACUGGUCCGGUACUGACGCUGAUGUGCGAAAGCGUGGGAAGCAAACAGG